rnacentral:rRNA from 1 species
UACGAAGGGGGCUAGCGUUGCUCGGAAUCACUGGGCGUAAAGCGCACGUAGGCGGACUCUUAAGUCAGGGGUGAAAUCCUGGAGCUCAACUCCAAACUGCCUUUGAUACUGGGAGCCUUGAGUUCGAGAGAGGUGAGUGGAACUGCGAGUGUAGAGGUGAAAUUCGUAGAUAUUCGCAAGAACACCAGUGGCGAAGGCGGCUCACUGGCUCGAUACUGACGCUGAGGUGCGAAAGCGUGGGGAGCAAACAGG